rnacentral:misc_RNA from 1 species
AAGUCGUAACAAGGUUUCCGUAGGUGAACCUGCGGAAGGAUCAUUCAUAAUCAAGUGUUUUUAUGGCACUUUCAAAAAUCCAUAUCCACCUUGUGUGCAAUGUCAUCUCACUGGGGGCCACCGGCUGUCAAAAGCCGUCUGGUCACCUUUGGGAUUUAUAUCUACUCAGAACUUUAGUGAUUUUGUCUGAAACAUAUUAUGAAUACUUAAUUCAAAAUACAACUUUCAACAACGGAUCUCUUGGCUCUC